rnacentral:rRNA from 1 species
CGGGUGCGUAACGCGUAUAGAACCUACCUUUUACAGAGGAAUAGCCUUUAGAAAUGAAGAUUAAUGCCUCAUGGUAUUGUAGACUGGCAUCAGUUUAUAAUUAAAGAUUUAUCGGUAAAAGAUGGCUAUGCGUCCUAUUAGUUAGUUGGUAAGGUAACGGCUUACCAAGACAGCGAUAGGUAGGGGUCCUGAGAGGGAGAUCCCCCACACUGGUACUGAGACACGGACCAGACUCCUACGGGAGGCAGCAGUGAGGAAUAUUGGACAAUGGAGGAGACUCUGAUCCAGCCAUGCCGCGUGUAGGAAGAAUGCCCUAUGGGUUGUAAACUACUUUUAUACAGGAAGAAACACUGGUAUGUAUACCAGCUUGACGGUACUGUAAGAAUAAGGAC